rnacentral:rRNA from 1 species
GACGAACGCUGGCGGCGUGCUUAACACAUGCAAGUCGAACGGAAAGGCCCCCACCUUGGUGGGGGUGCUCGAGUGGCGAACGGGUGAGUAACACGUGGGUGAUCUGCCCUGUACUUCGGGAUAAGCUUGGGAAACUGGGUCUAAUACCGGAUAGGACCAUGGUUUAGUGUCUCAUGGUGGAAAAAUUAUUGUUUUGGUGCAGGAUGAGCUCGCGGCCUAUCAGCUUGUUGGUGGGGUAAUGGCCUACCAAGGCGUCGACGGGUAGCCGGCCUGAGAGGGUGGACGGCCACAUUGGGACUGAGAUACGGCCCAGACUCCUACGGGAGGCAGCAGUGGGGAAUAGUGCACAAUGGGCGCAAGCCUGAUGCAGCGACGCCGCGUGGGGGAUGACGGCCUUCGGGUGGUAAACUCCUUUCGUUAGGGACGAAGCCACACCUUUUUUGGGUGUGGUGACGGUACCUUUGUUAAGAAGCACCGGCUAUCUACGUG